GUACCUCUGGUGUACCAGUUGCCAAGGGCAUGGCUGGGUAGCUAUGUACGGAAUGGAUAAGCGCUGAAAGCAUCUAAGAGCGAAGCCAACUUCAAGAUAAGAUUUCCCACCGUAAGGGUAAGGCCCCAGAAAGACUAUCUAGUUGAUAGGUCGAAGGUGUAAGUGCAGCAAUGUAUUUAGCUUAUCGAUACUAAUAGGUCGAGGACUUGACCAAAUU
rnacentral:rRNA from 1 species